rnacentral:sRNA from 1 species
GCUGGGCACGGUGGUGCAUGCCUGUAAUCCCAGUGGCUCAGGAGGCUGAGGCAGGAGGAUCACCAGUUUAAAGCCAGCCUCAG